rnacentral:rRNA from 1 species
AGAGUUUGAUCCUGGCUCAGAUUGAACGCUGGCGGCAGGCCUAACACAUGCAAGUCGAGCGGUAACGCGGGGCAACCUGGCGACGAGCGGCGGACGGGUGAGUAACGCGUAGGAAUCUACCUGGUAGUGGGGGAUAGCCCGGGGAAACUCGGAUUAAUACCGCAUACGCCCCAAGGGGGAAAGCGGGGGUCGCAAGACCUCGCGCUAUCAGAAGGGCCUGCGUUGGAUUAGCUAGUUGGUAGGGUAACGGCCUACCAAGGCGACGAUCCGUAGCUGGUCUGAGAGGACGAUCAGCCACACUGGGACUGAGACACGGCCCAGACUCCUACGGGAGGCAGCAGUGGGGAAUAUUGGACAAUGGGGGCAACCCUGAUCCAGCAAUGCCGCGUGUGUGAAGAAGGCCUGCGGGUUGUAAAGCACUUUCAGAGGGGAAGAAAAAAUCGGAGCUAACACCUCCGAGCUUGACGUUACCCUUAGGAGAAGCACCGGCUAACUCCGUGCCAGCAGCGGCGGUAAUUC